UAGAAUGUUGUUUAUUUAAAUUGUUCAAUAAUUGAAUUUAAUGUAAAAUUUUUCUUAAUUCAUUUCAUUUUUGCUGGUCAGUUAUUAUUGCAAAAUUUCAUAAAGUUCUUAUACAGCAGUUGUAAUAAUUACAUUACGGUUUUAGGUUAGAUGACCUCUUGAAGAGAUGUAUCUUUAAGGAUCCCCAAUGCAAAAAAUACUUCCAGCAUUUAACCAAGAAAUUUAAAAGCUUCCCACCAUGUUGAAAGUUCCUUAGGGCAAAUGAAAAUUUAAACUGGCAUGUAAUGACAUGAAAUGUAUGAGGAAAGGGUAUGAAAUGAAUCAGAAAUGUAAAUAUAAAAGCAUUCAACCAAGAUAUAACUUUCCACCAAGUUUUAAGUUCCUUAGGACAAAUGAAAAAUUAAAUUGCCAUGUUAUUUUAUGAGGAAAGGAAAUAAAAUGAAUCAGAAACGUAAAUAUAAAAGUUACAGGCAGAUGUCUAAAGAUGUGCCAAAAUAUCUUCAAUGGAGUAUUGCAACUCUACAAUAACAUGCCAAAUAAGACAAUCUCUAUGAUUGAAGAUGCAGGAAAAAGAAAACCGACUGAAGAGUUUUAUGGAAUUGA